rnacentral:rRNA from 1 species
UAUUUUUUAAGAACUUAAAAUUCAUGUAWUGUGUUGUAUUUUCUCGUGGGUGAUGAGAUGCCGCCCCMNCUNUAAWNUAAUUUAAAUAGUAUAUGAUUUUCUUUAUUASACUGAUUUAAAWUUAAUAKRNAGUUUUAUAGGGUCUUCUCGUCUUUUUAGAAAGUUAUGCUUUUGGACAUAAAUAUUAAUUUUCAUUUUCCUCCCCGGAAAAGCUUAAGUAUUGACACCUC